UACGAAGGGGGCUAGCGUUGUUCGGAUUUACUGGGCGUAAAGCGCGUGUAGGCGGACUUGUAAGUUGGGGUGAAAUCCCGAGACUCAACCUCGGAACUGCCUCCAAACUACAAGUCUGGACUCAAGUAGAGGCAAGUGGAAUUGCGAGUGUAGAGGUGAAAUUCGUAGAUAUUCGCAGGAACACCAGUGGCGAAGGCGACUUGCUGGACUUGUAGUGACGCUGAGACGCGAAAGCGUGGGGAGCAAAC
rnacentral:rRNA from 1 species